CAGUGCUGUAGCUCACAACAUUAGGCGUGAUUCUAUUCACAUGCAUCUGAGCGAGGAUGUCGAAAGAAAGAUCCAUCUGCCCUCCUUUGCAGAUCGCGUCCAAGAGUGUGUUGUAAGAAAACACGUCUUGCUUGAUCUUUCUAUUCGCCAUCUCAUCAAAGAGGCUCCUCGCUACCUCCCACAACCCUCCUCUGCUGCAUACACCGAGGAGAGAGUUGAAUUGAUUCUAUCUGGCUGCACACCGUUCCUCUCCAUGUCAUCGAAGAACUCGGCUACUUUGUUGAAAGACAUACCUCCUUUACCACACGCGUCGAUGACGGCGUUGUAAGUGGCCUGUGAGAUAACAAAUUAAGUCUCACAUCGGAUAUUAAACAAAUGAAAAUCUAAUAUAUAAAGAGAAGUCCAACUCUAAUAGUACGAGGCUUUUUGGGAUGGAAACCAAAAAGUAAAUCCAUGCGGGCCAGCCUCCUAGGCCCAAAGUGGACAAUAUCGUACUAAUCGGAUAAUAUAGAGUUGGACAUGAGAUUUCACAAUCUCAACAAUUAGUAUUAGAGCGGUUUGACGAAAAUCUGCAAGAAGACCAAAAUACCCUUUAAGUAAGAACAUGAUCCUUGGAAGAAGAAAGGAGGUUUGGCAGAGAUUAGUCAGAAAAUCAUAGAACAUGUGAUGUGUUGUGGGAGAAACAUUCUAAAAAGAAAGCCCUGCGAUUACUGGUACAAAGUGGUCUCGAAGAUGAUUCACCGAAGGAAACAUACGAGAUGAAUGUGGUCCUUAGCUUGAGGGAGAGAAUGUGAGAUAACAAGAUAAGUCCCAAAUCGGAUAUUAGAAAAAUGAAAAUUUAAUAUAUAAAGAGAAGUCCAACUCUAAUAGUACGAAGUAAAUCCAUGCGGGCCAGCCUCCUAUGCCCAAAGUAGACAAUAUCGUACUAAUCGGAUAAUACAGAGUUGGACAUGAGAUUUCACAAUCCCAACAUGACCAAGUUAGGCCUCAAGCCGUAGCUUUUCAUGGAGUCGAAGACGGUGAUAGCUUCCUGGUGGAGACCGCUUCUCCCUUAAGCGCUUAUGAGAGCGGAGAAGGCGUAGACAGUGUUCCCAUACCCACUGGAUAAAGCACUUUUGAAAACAGUUUUAGCGAUGGAGACUUUGCUUAACCUACCGAGAGGGCCUAUCAUAGAGCUGGCGAGCUUCCCUCGCUCGUUCACUCCUAAGGUUGGAAAGAUGAUUGCUGCGGAAGAAAAACAUAAGAAAUGGUGCCUAAAAAUGAGGUAAGCAACUUAGGAGUGAAUAAACCUUUGUGCUUCUCAAUCUUUUUCCUCCUCGGCUCAACACGAAUCCUAUACAUUCAAACUCUCUAAUCCUAUAAAUCUACCCUACCCAUAUGCACGUUUAUGCUCCAAAGUCCAAAGGUUCAUAAUUUCUUAAAGCCAACUUCCUAUAAGCAGGGCCGUGCCUGAGUAUAUUGGCCCUGAAGCAGAAAUAUUAUUUUGGCCCAUUUCUUUUAAAUAAUCUGUAAAAAUUCUAAGAAAAAGAAGCUGUGGGGCGUCAAACCCAGGUACGUAUAUACCCAAGCCAGUAACACAACCGGUUAAGCUACAUAAGAUUUCUGAAAAUAUUAGCCCUUUAAAAUAAAUAUCUUCACCGGCCCUCAAGCAUAUGCUUUAUCAGCUUUUAUUCAGGCAAUAAAGCUCCAACAUGAGGAAUACGACCCUUACCUCAUUCUUGUUAAAUCCGUAGCUGUUAUCACGGUAUGAGUUUCACCGAAGUAUCUACUUGCAUGCAAAGCACCUUCGACACUCUCGUUUAAACUUGGGAAGAAAGUUAAAAAGAAACUGAAACUGUCUACAAAGAAGAAGAAUGUGAUAUAUAAAUGGAACGUCAUUUUCUGAGAUUUUUUUUUUGUUACGAGAGUAACUAAAGCGACGUAGUAUUAUUAUAUUCUGUUUAUACCGGAGAAAAGAGGUCACUUGCCGGGAUUUAAUAGGUCUGUUAAGGAUUGACUCACAGAAUUCGGUCAAUGUAUUUUUAAGCCAAUUUCUUAUUGUUUGGGUAUGAAAUUUGAAUUAAAAUGAUGUACAGGUAUAUAGCACAGCUUGUAUGUGUAGGCUCGGAUUGGGACCGCGGCUCUCGGUGAAUUGGCCGAUUUCCCGACACUUUAUAUAGGGGUGUCAAAAUAAGCUACAGCUCAUGAGCUGACUCAGCUCAGCUCAAUUUUUCAUGAGUAUAAUCUCUAUUUUUAGGUUUAUUUAAUAAAUGAGUUUAAUGAUCGGGUGUAAAUUAGAUCAUGAGUUCUAUGAACGAUCUUUAAUGAACAUGAGCUAACUCAUGAGUUUGGUCGUUUUAUACUUUAUACGUAUACAUAUAUGGAUGACUUCUAUUUUUCUUAUGUAAGAAAAAAUAAUUUUUAUACUAAUCAUAUUUAUCUUAUAAAAUUAAAAUAUAAAACCAAAAAGUAAUAAAUAUAUACUAAAAUGUAAAAGAAUAUUGAUAUAAAUUCUCAUAUCAUAUAUUUUAUAACUAAAAUAUAAAAUUAAAUAU